CACCGCGGUUAUACGAGAGACCCAGGUCGAUGGUCCGCGGCGUAAAGAGUGGUUAAGACCCAUCCAAUAACUAAAGAUGAACGACUUCAAAGCUGUUGUACGCACACGAUAGUACGAAACUCACCUACGAAAGUGACUUUAAACUUCUGACUCCACGAAAGCUAGGAAA
rnacentral:rRNA from 1 species